rnacentral:misc_RNA from 1 species
UCGACUAAAAAAUUAUCUCAAAAGAUACCCACUGGAUAAAAUGCAGAAGAGCAUUUAAGAAGUGUAAAAUGUAAAGAAUGCAAGAAGCACCAAGGCAUAAUCGAUGUAAAGAAGAAGAGAGACGACACCCGGGAAUCGAGUUAAUACACACACUCUAAAGUACAUAUUCGCUUUCUUUAUUUCCUUAGCUGUGGUGUAGGGAAUUGACUCAAACCGCUUUCUAAAAGGGGACAAAUUGGCGACAGGGCGCGGUGCAAUAUCGCAUACACACACUCAUCAAUACACAGGCAUACA